rnacentral:tRNA from 1 species
GCGCGAGUAGUAAACCGGCUAAUACGCCGUCUAUCCAAGACGGAGACUGAGGUUCGACUCCUCACUCGCGCUCCA